rnacentral:tRNA from 2 species
GCCGGAGUGAUGGAACUGGUAGACAUGCGGGUCUCAAAAACCCGUGAGGGCGACUUCGUGUGGGUUCGAGUCCCACCUCCGGCA